rnacentral:rRNA from 1 species
GAUUAACGCUGGCGGCGUGCCUAACACAUGCAAGUCGAACGAGGUAGCAAUACCUAGUGGCAGACGGGUGAGUAACGCGUGGUCAACCUACCGUUGAGUGGGGGAUAACUAGCCGAAAGGUUAGCUAAUACCGCAUACGAGUCUCGGGGGCAUCCCUGGGCCUUAAAAGGAGCAAUCCGCUCGAUGACGGGACCGCGUCCCAUUAGCUAGAUGGUGGGGUAACGGCCUACCAUGGCACCGAUGGGUAGCUGGUUUGAGAGAGCGACCAGCCACACUGGGACUGAGAAACGGCCCAGACUCCUACGGGAGGCAGCAGUGAGGAAUUUUCCGCAAUGGGCGAAAGCCUGACGGAGCGACGCCGCGUGUGGGAAGAAGGCCUUCGGGUCGUAAACCACUGUCGGAGGGGACGAUAAUGACGGUACCCUUGGAGGAAGCCCCGGCUAACUACGUGCCAGCAGCCGCGGUAAGACGUAGGGGGCGAGCGUUAUUCGGAAUUAUUGGGCGUAAAGCGCUCGUAGGCGGGAUCGAUAGUCCGUGAAGAAAGACCUGGGCUCAACUCAGGGAACGGCACGGAUACUUCGA